GCGGGGGUCCCCGAGCCAGGCCAAAGGGGGCAGUUAAAAUCUGCUGGCGUAGGCCUUCGUGGGUUCGAAUCCCACCCCCCGCA
rnacentral:tRNA from 1 species